UUGCCGACGUAGAUGGAGCGCGCGUCGGCCUCCAUCUUCUCCUCCAGCGACAUGAUGACGGGGCCGGCUGCGGGGACACCCCAAAACGUCACCCCAAAACGACCCCAAAAUGGGACCCCGAGUGACCCCAAAAUGGGACACUGAGAGACCCCAAAUGGGACCCCAAAAUGACCCCAAAUGGGACCCCAAAAUGAGCCCAAAUGGGACCCCAAAAUGAGCCCAAAUGGGACCCCAAAAUGAUGCCCAAUGGGACCCCCAAAAUGGGACCCUGAGUGACCCCAAAAUGGGACCCCGAGUGACCCCAAGAGACCCCAAAACGGGACCCCAAAAUAUGACCCAAAGUGACCCCGAAUUGUGACCCCGAGUGACCCCAAAAUGGGACCCCGAGUGACCCCAAAAUGGGACCCCAAAAUGACCCCAAAUGGGACCCCAAAAUUGGGACCCCAAACCCCAGGGACCCCAAAAUGGGACCCCAAAACGGGACCCCAAAACGGGACCCCAAACCCCAGGGACCCCAAACCCCAGGGACCCCAAACCCCAGGGACCCCAAACCCCAGGGACCCCAAAAUGGGACCCCAAAAUGGGACCCCAAAAUGGGACCCCAAAAUGGGACCCCAAGUGACCCC
rnacentral:lncRNA from 1 species